rnacentral:rRNA from 1 species
AUUGAAUGCUGGCGGCAUGCCUUACACAUGCAAGUCGAACGGCAGCAUGGGUGCUUGCACCUGAUGGCGAGUGGCGAACGGGUGAGUAAUGCAUCGGAACGUACCCGGAAGUGGGGGAUAACGUAGCGAAAGUUACGCUAAUACCGCAUAUUCUGUGAGCAGGAAAGCGGGGGAUCGCAAGACCUCGCGCUUCCGGAGCGGCCGAUGUCGGAUUAGCUAGUUGGUGAGGUAAAGGCUCACCAAGGCGACGAUCUGUAGCGGGUCUGAGAGGAUGAUCCGCCACACUGGAACUGAGACACGGUCCAGACUCCUACGGGAGGCAGCAGUGGGGAAUUUUGGACAAUGGGCGCAAGCCUGAUCCAGCCAUGCCGCGUGAGUGAAGAAGGCCUCGGUUGUAAGCUCUUCGUCCGGGAGAAGUACGCAUGGUUAAUACCUCGUGCGGAGUGACGGUACCGGCGACUAAGAAGACACCGGCGUAACUACG